UGCCCAAUGCGGGAUUCGAUCCCGGGUCGUAGCGGUCGAAAACCCACGGUUCAGACCACCCUAAAACCGACCAGUUUAUAAACUAAAUGGCU